GAUGAACGCUGGCGGCGUGCCUAAUACAUGCAAGUCGAGCGAACGGACGAGAAGCUUGCUUCUCUGAUGUUAGCGGCGGACGGGUGAGUAACACGUGGAUAACCUACCUAUAAGACUGGGAUAACUUCGGGAAACCGGAGCUAAUACCGGAUAAUAUUUUGAACCGCAUGGUUCAAAAGUGAAAGACGGUCUUGCUGUCACUUAUAGAUGGAUCCGCGCUGCAUUAGCUAGUUGGUAAGGUAACGGCUUACCAAGGCAACGAUGCGUAGCCGACCUGAGAGGGUGAUCGGCCACACUGGAACUGAGACACGGUCCAGACUCCUACGGGAGGCAGCAGUAGGGAAUCUUCCGCAAUGGGCGAAAGCCUGACGGAGCAACGCCGCGUGAGUGAUGAAGGUCUUCGGAUCGUAAAACUCUGUUAUUAGGGAAGAACAAAUGUGUAAGUAACUAUGCACGUCUUGACGGUACCUAAUCAGAAAGCCACGGCUAACUACGUGCCAGCAGCCGCGGUAAUACGUAGGUGGCAAGCGUUAUCCGGAAUUAUUGGGCGUAAAGCGCGCGUAGGCGGUUUUUUAAGUCUGAUGUGAAAGCCCACGGCUCAACCGUGGAGGGUCAUUGGAAACUGGAAAACUUGAGUGCAGAAGAGGAAAGUGGAAUUCCGUGUGUAGCGGUGAAAUGCGCAGAGAUAUGGAGGAACACCAGUGGCGAAGGCGACUUUCUGGUCUGUAACUGACGCUGAUGUGCGAAAGCGUGGGGAUCAAACAGGAUUAGAUACCCUGGUAGUCCACGCCGUAAACGAUGAGUGCUAAGUGUUAGGGGGUUUCCGCCCCUUAGUGCUGCAGCUAACGCAUUAAGCACUCCGCCUGGGGAGUACGACCGCAAGGUUGAAACUCAAAGGAAUUGACGGGGACCCGCACAAGCGGUGGAGCAUGUGGUUUAAUUCGAAGCAACGCGAAGAACCUUACCAAAUCUUGACAUCCUCUGACCCCUCUAGAGAUAGAGUUUUCCCCUUCGGGGGACAGAGUGACAGGUGGUGCAUGGUUGUCGUCAGCUCGUGUCGUGAGAUGUUGGGUUAAGUCCCGCAACGAGCGCAACCCUUAAGCUUAGUUGCCAUCAUUAAGUUGGGCACUCUAAGUUGACUACCGGUGACAAACCGGAGGAAGGUGGGGAUGACGUCAAAUCAUCAUGCCCCUUAUGAUUUGGGCUACACACGUGCUACAAUGGACAAUACAAAGGGCAGCGAAACCGCGAGGUCAAGCAAAUCCCAUAAAGUUGUUCUCAGUUCGGAUUGUAGUCUGCAACUCGACUACAUGAAGCUGGAAUCGCUAGUAAUCGUAGAUCAGCAUGCUACGGUGAAUACGUUCCCGGGUCU
rnacentral:rRNA from 1 species